UCUUUGUUUUUACAUAGCCAGUCAGAAUGGAGUUCACAGCCUCAGUGUGUCUGGUGACCCACGGGGACCAUGAUGAAAAUUCAUCUUCCAGAAGGUCCCAGAGCGUCCAGACCCCCUGAAAAGACCAAGAUGUAAGGUGUCUGCUGUUGAUUCCAGCUUCCACCUCAGUGACAGUGCAAGCUCAGUGAACUGUUCAAGCCUGGCUGAUCACCUGAUAACUCCUGUCAUCUGGUUAUGACAGCAUGAGGAUGUCCUCACACACCUGUAACCUAUCAGCUCAUCUGGCAGAAUAGAGAGAGAAGAGACAACACCACAUCUCCUGUUCCUGGAAAGCCUUCAGCCAUCCUUUGAUGACUGAGAACCUCCAUCAGCUCUGUCUCCUGUCUGCCUACAAUUAUUAUAAUAAAUAUUGUGUUUGACAAGUU